GUUCUCAUGCGACUCGCCGUCACUGGAUGGCCCCGGCCAGCUGAGCGUGAUGGAGACCAACUCCUUUAAGCACAGCAACCAGCUUUCUCUGCGGCUGACGCAGGGCUCUGACAAGCACGUCAAAGACUACCUGGCUGCCUGUCUGGCCUCUGUCAAGGUGACACCAAGCUGCCCUCGUUACAUCAAACUUGAAGACAGAGGUAAGUGGUUUCUCAGGUAUCUCUCCUCCAACUUCAAAUUUGAUAUUUGGAUUAACAUGUUUGAUAAACACUGAGGCAUGUGCCUAGUUCAUUUAUUAAUUAUUUUGUUUUAGCCUGGACUGAUGUGUUGGUGUGCAAAUUAUCAUUUCCAAACAGGGUGGAGGUUAAUCGAAUAUUCUAAGAUUCUGCCGUUUCAUUUACUAUACUCGGAAAAAAUAUUGCCCUGUUGUUGCAAUGGUCUUUUUGAGGUACAUUCUGAUGAAUUUGGAAUGAAUUAACUCCAUCAGAUGCAUGAAAGUGAAAAUGAGUUGUAAAACGAGCAUAGGCGGCACUUUUAAAUCUGCCCUAUUGUUUUACCUGUGAAAAUUAAUGCUGUAUCAUAGGAAGGCUGUUCAAAGUCUACGCGCAAGGCUAUUGCACGAGGAAAAUUGGCCGUCCAUGUGUGCACAAUGGGACAAAAUGGCCACCGCCAUACCCAUGUGCUUGCAAUUGAAGACAUUGCUGGUUUAAAGUCAAAGUGGAUACACAAACAAAGAAAGGAAGAGAAGUAAAAUCACAUGCUACAAAUACAAGCAACAUUUCAAGUUGCUUUGGCCGCUUUCGGUCAUCAGUUUUGCAAUUUGUCCGAGUGAAGGCAAAGUGCUUCGCCUUGUCGCUAAAUGCUGCAGUGGGACAUGCGUUCGCCAGAUUGACAAGGACUUUGCACAUUUUUUGAAAUUUUCUUCACAGACUUGGAAUGAAAUGGGAAUGUGUACACAAAAAACAGAUCCGAAAAAUUCCUGAUUAUUUGAUUUUGGCCCUUUCUCUUUCAGAAUGAACAAAAAAGUCACGAAAGCUCUUGUGGUGGGGAUGCGCCGUGACAUCCGGGCCAGAGCCUGGAAGCCCACCGGCGAGAUGGAUGGGCAUUAUGAGAACAUAACUGUUGCCCUCUGUGACGAAACAGCCAACCAGACUCGUGUCUGUGCGCGGAGCUCGGUUGGUGCCCUUGAGCGUCUUGUACCUAAAACAAGACGAAGCGGUCGUGAGAGUGGCCAUGUGGAGGGAGGCCACCUUGACCCCGAUCAAGGUCGGGGCCUCCUACACUUUCACGCACCUUAGUGCCGUGACAAACGACUUCGGCCUGUCCCUGAAUACGACACAGCAUUCAAAGAUAUCGGGCUACAAUACAACUAGGAAGUUGGUGGCUAUUGGGGUCAUGAUGGAGGACGACGAGGAGGUCAAGUUGGUGGAUGUGGAGGGUGUUGAGACCACAAUUUCGAUGGCCGUGUGGACCAAGGCUUUUGUUGAGCCGCCAACGUUGCCCGAAGAGUGACUCCACUUAACUCUUAUUUAUUCGGAGGGUGAAGUGGUGGAGAUUAGUAAAUAAUUUUUUAUUUUGCCAAUGCUGUCCAUUUGCCUACAUUGUUUUCUGUCAGUUAGGGUUUGGAUGGGUGCAGUUGUGCUUUUCAUUGGGAAGUGUUUAAAUUUUCUGAUUCACCCCAUUCGAACUUUCACACGUUCCCAAAAUUCAUGUCACGCUUGCUACCAUUUUUCUUGUUCUACUUUAUUAUUGUGUGAAGGCGAAGUGAAAAACAACUCCCACAUGCUUCAACAGAUUCACCUCGUUCAAACUUUCACACGUUCCAAAAAUUCAUGGCAAGCUUGCCACCUUUUUUCUCCUUCAUAACAUUUACCGUUUUUAAGUAAUUAGCAAAUUCGUGCCUUUUAAUUCCCCCAUUCAUUCUUAAUGGCAAUGUCAACCCGAGCCAGUUCCCUGUAGUGGGUUCGAUUCCCACAUUGGGCGUCAUUGAUUAUUUUACUCUUUAUUCCUCCCGCUUAUCAUUUUCAACGCUGAUCAUUUGUAACUAACAUUCACAUUCAACAUUCAUUACAUUAAGCAAUUUCCACCACUUUGCUUACGCAUUCGCAUUCAACAAACACAUUCAUUACAUUAACCAAAUUCAACCACUUAAAGCAGUGCUUCUCAAAUAGUGGAGCGCGCCCCCCUUGGGGGCGCGUGUGACCCUGGGGAACAGGCUUUUUUUUUGGCAGUACUAGAAUAAAGUGUAAUUGCGCGUUUACUACAGCAGGGGGGAGUGGCGCUCAUUGUUACUUCUGUCACGUUUGCGACAGUGCAACAUUUUACGACUUACAAGACAAGUUAGGAUAGUCACGGUGGGGAGGGGGGGCGCGAAUAGAUUUUUUCUUGCUGGGGGGGGCGUAACAGAAAAUAAUUGAGAAGCACUGACUUAAAGUAAGAGACCCGAUUAGCUCGUGGGAAAAACAAGUGAUUCCAGAACACGAGCGGCAUCAAAACCCGCACUGGUUCGAUUCCUACAUUGGUCGUCCUUAUUUAUUUUACUCUUUAUCCUUCCCGGUUAUCAUUUUCAACGGUUAUCGUUUAACUUUUGUCAUUCGCAUUCAACAUUCAUUACAUUAAGCAAUUUCCACCACUUUGAUUACGCAGUCGCAUUCAACAAACACAUUCAUUACAUUAACCAAAUUCAACCGUCACUGAGGAAGAAAUCUGAUUAGCUCAGUCGGAAACACAAUGGCAAUGUCAACCCGCGCCAGUUUCCUGUAGUGGGUUCGAUUCCCACAUUGGGCGUCAUAAACUAUUUUACUCUUUAUUCUUCCCCUUAUCAUUUUCAACGCUUAUCAUUUGUACCUUUUUUGUAACAUUUGUAACAUUUCAUUUUUAACGCUUAUCAUUUGUACCUUUUUGUAACAUGUAUUUGUAACAUUUUCCCAUUUAUUUCACAAUUAUUUCUUUACCUUUUCAUUCUUCCCGCUUAUCAUUUUUAACGCUUAACGUUUGUAAAUUAACAUCUGCCUUCGCCUUCACACGCAAUUUCUUCCGAAAUUGCAAUUCUAGUUAAACAACUUAUUCCUCCCACUUUUUUGACAUCCAACUACUCCCACAUGCUUCAACCAAUUCACCUCGUUCAAACUUUCACACGUUCCAAAAAUUCAUGGCAAGCUUGCCACCUUUUUUCCCGUUCAUAACAUUUACCGUUUUUAAGCAAUUAGCAAAUUUGUGCCUUUUAUUUCCCCAUUCAUUCUUAAUGGCAAUGUCAACCCGAGCCAGUUUCCUGUAGUGGGUUCGAUUCCCACAUUGGGCGUCAUUAAUUAUUUUACUCUUUAUUCUUCCCGCUUAUCAUUUUCAACGCUUAUCAUUUGUAACUAACAUUUGCAUUCAACAUUCGUUACAUUAAGCAAUUUCCACCACUUUGAUUACGUAUUCGCAUUCAACAAACACAUUCAUUACAUUAACCAAAUUCAACCACUCUUAAGAAAGGGACCCAAUUAGCUCGUAGGAAACACAAGUGAUUCCAGAACACGAGAGGCUUUCCCGAGUGGUAUCAAAACCCGCGUCGGUUUGAUUCCCACAUUGGGCGUCGUUAUUUAUUUUACUCUUUAUCCUUCCCGGUUAUCAUUUUCGACGGUUAUCAUUUGUAACUUUUGUCAUUCGCAUUCAACAUUCAUUACAUGAAGCAAUUUCCACCACUUUGAUUACGCAUUCGCAUUCAACAAACACAUUCAUUACAUUAACCAAAUUCAACCAUGACUAAGGAAGGAACCUGAUUAGCUCAGUCGGAAACACAAUGGCAAUGUCAACCCGCGCCAGUUUCCUGUAGUGGGUUCGAUUCCCACAUUGGGCGUCAUAAAUUAUUUUACUCUUUAUUCUUCCCCUUAUCAUUUUCAACGCUUAUCAUUUGUACCUUUUUUGUAACAUUUCAUUUUUAACGCUUAUCAUUUGUACCUUUUUGUAACAUUUUCCCAUUUAUUUCACAAUUAUUUCUUUCCCUUUUCAUUCUUCCCGCUCAUCAUUUUUAACGCUUAACGUUUGUAAAUUAACAUCUGCCUUCGCCUUCACACGCAAUUUCUUCCGAAAUUGCAAUUCUAGUUGUGUGAAGGCCUUGUUAUUCUACUACAUUUUUUAUAGAGUUCUUGUUACAAUUUUUAUCCCCCCUCCCCACCAUCUGUCACUUUGCUUGGGACAAAAGGAGCCUUCAGAAGUGAAAUUUCUUCUCAAUUAUUCAUUCAAAUCAAUUCACUCAAAUCAUUCUCGUUAUGAAAGAUUUGAUCACAAAACGUGUGUGGCUUUUUCUUAAAUGAACACGUUUGACAUUGCUGUAGUGUCAGCAUUUAAUUAUAUUGCGCUGCCAUGUUAAAGCAAAUUAAUAAAUGCAACAAUAUUAAUUUGCCUUGAAAAUACCUGAGUAAUAAAAUAAAAUGGAUGGAUGGAUGAAUGAUGAUCACAAUUAAGUAUAAAGUCUCCUUUGUAAUCUAUACUCCUUGUAGCCUGUACCCAAAAAGAGGAGUUUCUUUGCAUCGAGGUUUAUGCAAAGAGCUCACGUAAUUAUAUUGUUGCGUUUUGGUGAAGUGGUUGAGUAUUCCGCCUGUACGACUGGUCUUUGAAUGCACCCCGCUUCAAUGGCAAAACGCGGAUGAAUUUAAAGAUAUCAAAUGAGAAUAAUCCUUUAUAAAAAUUAAAAUUGACUGACGCAAACGUGA